rnacentral:tRNA from 1 species
GCCGGAGUGGUGGAACAGGCAGACACGCAUGAUUUAGGUUCAUGUGCCCACUGGGCGUGCGGGUUCAAGUCCCGCCUUCGGCA